ensembl:Y_RNA Y_RNA Y RNA
GGCUGGUCGGAAAGUAGUGAGUUAUCACAAUUGAUUUUUUACAGUCAGUUACAGAUCAAACUCCAUGUACUACUCCUCCCCCACUCCACCCCCACUUCUCACUACUGCACUUGGUUAGUCUUUA